GGCGAGGGGAGUGAAAAAGAACCUGAAACCGUGUACGUACAAGCAGUAGGAGCCCCACCACCAAAGCGUUUCGCUUUGCGUGGUGCGCAAAAUGCGUAACGACAGCAUGAUGGACGGUUAACGGAGCGUCAGCGACGUUCAACGUCAAAAAUCAGGCAGUGGAGCGUUUUGGGGUGGGGUGACUGCGUACCUUUUGUAUAAUGGGUCAGCGACUUAUAUUCUGUAGCAAGG
rnacentral:rRNA from 1 species